rnacentral:rRNA from 1 species
UCGCGUUUUCGGAGCGGCCGAUAUCGGAUUAGCUAGUAGGUGAGGUAAAGGCUCACCUAGGCGACGAUCCGUAGCUGGCCUGAGAGGACGACCAGCCACACUGGAACUGAGACACGGUCCAGACUCCUACGGGAGGCAGCAGUGGGGAAUUUUGGACAAUGGGCGAAAGCCUGAUCCAGCCAUGCCGCGUGAGUGAAGAAGGCCUUCGGGUUGUAAAGCUCUUUCAGCCGGAAAGAAAACGCAUGGGUUAAUAACCUGUGUGGAUGACGGUACCGGAAGAAGAAGCACCGGCUAACUACGUGCCAGCAGCCGCGGUAAUACGUAGGGUGCGAGCGUUAAUCGGAAUUACUGGGCGUAAAGCGUGCGCAGGCGGUUUUGUAAGACAGAUGUGAAAUCCCCGGGCUUAACCUGGGAACUGCAUUUGUGACUGCAAGGCUAGAGUACGGCAGAGGGGGGUAGAAUUCCACGUGUAGCAGUGAAAUGCGUAGAUAUGUGGAGGAAUACCGAUGGCGAAGGCAGCCCCCUGGGUCGAUACUGACGCUCAUGCACGAAAGCGUGGGGAGCAAACAGGAUUAGAUACCCUGGUAGUCCACGCCCUAAACGAUGUCAACUAGGUGUUGGGGGAGGAGACUUCCUUAG